AGUACAAUAUCUGAAAUGACGCAAGGAGCGCCCAUAGUGAUGAGUUAACCAUAGUUCAUUGGUCCAACCAUGGCCGAACCACCAAACCAGUCACAGCUACUGGUUGACAUCCAGGUCAGGUUUCUAGAAAAAGGAUAUGUGGUAAAUACUAAAUGCAAUGAAGUUCUCUAUUAUAAUAAACUACAGAUGUAAUAUAAAAAUAAUACAUGAUGCUUUCACUUAAAA
rnacentral:lncRNA from 1 species